rnacentral:rRNA from 1 species
UACGGGGGGGGCAAGCGUUGUUCGGAAUUACUGGGCGUAAAGGGCGCGUAGGUGGCCUGUUAAGUCGAACGUGAAAUCCCCGGGCUCAACCCGGGAACUGCGUCCGAGACUGGCAGGCUCGAAUCCGGGAGAGGGAUGUGGAAUUCCAGGUGUAGCGGUGAAAUGCGUUGAUAUCAUCUGGAACACCGGUGGCGAAAGCGGCAUACUGGACCUUUUCUGACGCUGAGGAACGAAAGCUAGGGUAGCGAACGGG